GGGCUUUAGCUCAGUUGGCUAGAGUACUUGACUGGCAGUCAAGGGGUCAGGGGUUCGAAUCCCCUAAGCUCC
rnacentral:tRNA from 1 species